rnacentral:lncRNA from 1 species
GUGACCGCCACCGUUGCCAAGGGAUGGGUCCCUGAGACUUGGCGAAGUGGGAGCCCUGUGUGAUCGUGCGUCAGAGUCGGGGCUGAGACCAGCCCCGGCCAGGGUAGUUACCGGGACGGUCUCCGGAGGCCGGGAUUCGCGGAGGGUCCACCAGCAGGAAGAAACCCCAGGAGGAAGAAACCUCAGACAGAUCGCCGGGGAGGCAGCGCGGGAUCCCAGCCUCAGGCGUGCGCGGACGGUGUGCGGGUGAGUCUCCCCAAAAGUGGCGGCCUUGUGAUGUCGAGGACAGGUCUCGCUGUGUGCCCGUGGGCUGCUGUCUCACCGGUGGCUCGUAGUCGCGGAGAGCAGAACCCGGCAGCUUCAGGGGCUGCCUGGGGAGUCUAGCUUUGUACCAGGCUGCAGUGCAGUAGUGCCAUCUCAGCUCACUGCAACCUCUGCCUCCCGGGUUCAAGAGAUUGUCCUGCCUCAGCCUCCCGAGUAGCUGGGAUUACAGGCACAUGCCACCACACCCAGCUAAUGUUUGUAUUUUUAGUAGACACGGGGUUUCAUCAUGUUGCCCAGGAUGGUCUCAAUUUCCUGACCUCGUGAUCCGCACAUCUCGGCCUCCCAAAAUGCUGGGAUUACAGGCAUGAGCCACCAGAACCGGACAUGCUUUCCUUAAAAGCUAAAUAUUUUAGGCUUGUGUGCCAUUAGGCUCUGUUACAACUACUUAAUUCUGCUUUUGUAAUUCUAUAGCACCCAUUGAUAAUACAUAAACAAAUGAGCAUGAAUGUAUCUCAGUAAAAAUUUGUUCACAUAAACAGGCAGUCCACCCAUGAAGCUAUAGCUUGCUGACCCCUUGUUUAAACAAUCAAUUGAAUUCAAACAGAAAUAAAAGGAUCUUAUAUAUUUAACCAUGUUGAUACCAUUUCCAGUGCUUUUCAUUCUUCUAUGUAGAUCCAAAUUUCCUUUUGAUAUUAUUUUACGUCUGCCUGAAACAUUUUCUUUAACAUUUUUUAUAGUGCUGUUUUACUGGUGAUGAUUUAUUUCAGGUUCUAAGUGCCAGAACAAAAUCUUUAUUUCACCUACAUCUUGAAAGAUAGUUUCUCUGAGUCUACAAUUUCCA